AAAGCAGUUCAAACAGAUGGGCCAGCCAUUGCAAAGUCCUCGAGUAUGUGUGUUUUAAGGACAGCUGGGAAGCCAGGGUGUCUGAGCACAGAGAACAAGCGAGAGGAUCGAGAGUACAUGUAUGAACUUGUUAUACAGGCCUUUAUUAUCUGAAGACUGAAAGACUGAAUGAGAAAUGCAUCUGAUCUAAUGCUGAGACAGUCGAAUUUGGGAAUUUGAAAUGCGAUUUACCAGAGAGCAACUUGGGCUUAGCACAUGAACCUGCAAGAUCUCAAACUGAAUAUACAAAAAGACAGUCUAUGGAUGUCAAUACUGAGAUAACAGAGAAGCUAAAGUUAUCUGAAGCAAAAUGUAAAACAAUCAUGAUAAAACUGAUGAAGAUGGCCUUUUCUGGUCCGCCUGGUAAACUCCUAUUCUUCCUUCAGAUUCAGCCCAAAUCAGUCUUCAGUAAUAAUUCUCACUUACUGGACUUGGCGCUUGACUGAGAGAGUGAGGCAGACAGAUGACUUUGGACCGUACUGGUGAAAAAUAAGCACAUCUACAGAAUCUAGAGUAGUAGCAACCAUGAAAACUGGACUGUCAACAAAGAAGACAGAAGUUUGAUAUCCACAAGAACUAAGAAGAAAUCACUAAGGAAUAUAUAAUCUAAUUUGUAUUUGAACAAACAAACGCUGAAAAUUCACUGACUUAAAGUGUUAAAUUAUUUCCAAAAUGUAUGUAAAAUAGUUUCUAUAUAUAUAAAAUAAAUGC
rnacentral:lncRNA from 10 species